rnacentral:rRNA from 1 species
GACGAACGCUGGCGGCGUGCUUAACACAUGCAAGUCGAACGAUGAACCCGGAGCUUGCUCCGGUGGAUUAGUGGCGAACGGGUGAGUAACACGUGAGUAACCUGCCCUUGACUCUGGGAUAACUGCGGGAAACUGUAGCUAAUACCGGAUACGACCCUCGGCGGCAUCGCCAGGGGGUGGAAAGAAUUUCGGUCAAGGAUGGACUCGCGGCCUAUCAGCUAGUUGGUGAGGUAACGGCUCACCAAGGCGAUGACGGGUAGCCGGCCUGAGAGGGGAACCGGCCACCCUGGGACAGAGAAACGGCCCAGACUCCUACGGGAGGCAGCAGUAGGGAAGCUGCCGCAAUGGGCGCAAGCCUGAUGCAGAAACGCCGCGUGAGGGAUGACGGCCUUCGGGUUGUAAACCUCUUUUAGCAGGGAAGAAGCGAAAGUGACGGUACCUGCAGAAAAAGCACCGGCUAACUACGUGCCAGCAGCCGCCGUAA